CAUGAUCUUCAGCUGCACUAGGAACUGAGACCCCACUGACAAAUCAGAAGCCCCAGAUCUCCCUCUCCACUCCCAGCAAAAACAGCUGCUUGAAAACAGAGCUCAGAAUGGGAGGCGGCUGGAAGGUUGACAUGAGAAGGGUGGGGAUUCCCACAUACCUGCGGAAAAGGUGAUUGUUGACCUUGAUCUUGGAGCUGGCCUUAAAGUCAUC